AUUAAAAUAGCUCAAUGAGAGUUUUGUAUUGAAGCUGCAAAGGUGGCUUUAAGGCCUUUUAAUA
rnacentral:tRNA from 1 species